rnacentral:sRNA from 1 species
AAUGUCUACUACUGUCUAUAGCCUAUCUUUUCCUCAUUUGUU